CCGAGGGGGGCGGGUCUAUAAUGCAAGUCGAGCGGACAGAAGGGAGCUUGCUCCCGGAUGUUAGCGGCGGACGGGUGAGUAACACGUGGGUAACCUGCCUGUAAGACUGGGAUAACUCCGGGAAACCGGAGCUAAUACCGGAUAGUUCCUUGAACCGCAUGGUUCAAGGAUGAAAGACGGUUUCGGCUGUCACUUACAGAUGGACCCGCGGCGCAUUAGCUAGUUGGUGGGGUAAUGGCUCACCAAGGCGACGAUGCGUAGCCGACCUGAGAGGGUGAUCGGCCACACUGGGACUGAGACACGGCCCAGACUCCUACGGGAGGCAGCAGUAGGGAAUCUUCCGCAAUGGAACCGAAAAGUUCUGAACGGAGGCAACGCCGCCGUGAGGUGAUGAAGGUUUUCGGAUCGUAAAGCUCUGUUGUUAGGGARGAACAAGUGCGAGAGUAACUGCUCGCACCUUGACGGUACCUAACCCAGAAAAGCCACGGCUAACUACGUGCCAGCAGCCGCGGUAAUACGUAGGUGGCAAGCGUUGUCCGGAAUUAUUGGGCGUAAAGGGCUCGCAGGCGGUUUCUUAAGUCUGAUGUGAAAGCCCCCGGCUCAACCGGGGAGGGUCAUUGGAAACUGGGAAACUUGAGUGCAGAAGAGGAGAGUGGAAUUCCACGUGUAGCGGUGAAAUGCGUAGAGAUGUGGAGGAACACCAGUGGCGAAGGCGACUUCUUCUGGUCUGUAACUGACGCUGAGGAGCGAAAGCGUGGGGGAGCGAACAGGAWUARAUUACCCUGGUAGUUCCACGCCGGUAAACGAUGGAGUGCUAAGUGGUUAGGGGGUUUCCGCGCCCUUAUGUGCUGCRCGCUARCGCAAUUAAGACACUCCGCCCUGGGGGAAGUACGGUCCGCAAGACUGAAACUCAAAGGAAUUGACGGGGGCYCGCMCAAGCGCGGUGRAGCAUGUGGUKUAAUUCGAAGACRACGGCGRAGAACCUUACCAKGUCUUGWSAUSCUCCUGGACARCCYUAGAGWUAGGGCUCUGUCCCUUCKGSGACAGAGUGACAGSYGGUGCAAUGGUUGUCGUCAGCUCGUGUCGUGWGAUGUUGGGUUAAGUCYCGCAACGAGCGCAACSCUUGAUCUUAUGUUGCCAGCAUUUAGUUGGGCACUCUAAGGUGACUGCCGGUGACAAACCGGAGGAAGGUGGGGAUGACGUCAAAUCAUCAUGCCCCUUAUGACCUGGGCUACACACGUGCUACAAUGGACAGAACAAAGGGCUGCGAGACCGCAAGGUUUAGCCAAUCCCAUAAAUCUGUUCUCAGUUCGGAUCGCAGUCUGCAACUCGACUGCGUGAAGCUGGAAUCGCUAGUAAUCGCGGAUCAGCAUGCCGCGGUGAAUACGUUCCCGGGCCUUGUACACACCGCCCGUCACACCACGAGAGUUUGCAACACCCGAAGUCGGUGAGGUAACCUUUAUGGAGCCAGCCGCCGAAGGUGGGGCAGAUGAUUGGGGUGAAGUCGUAACAAGGUUGCCUUAAGGG
rnacentral:rRNA from 2 species